rnacentral:rRNA from 1 species
ACACCCGGUCACGUUCCGAUCCCGGUCAGUUAAGCCUGCCAGCGCCGAUGGUACUGCCCCCGAAGGGGGGUGGGAGAGCAGGACACCGCCGAAC